GUGCUUGCUUUGACAGCCCAUAUACUAAAAAAUUGGAAUGAUACAGGGAACAUUAGCAUGGCCACUGUGCAAGAAUGACAUGCAAAUUCAUGAAGCAUUCCUUUA